AUGGUAAGCCUCCAGACAUGCUUCUUUGCGCACAGAGCCUUUUUGGAAUUACUAAAUGAGCAGAUCAUGAAUGGGACUUUCCUGGUGGCCCAGCGGUUAAGACUCUAUGCUUCCACUGUAGGGGGCGUGCGUUUGAUCUCUGGUCAGAUCCUGCAGCUGCACAGCCGAAACAAAAAAGAUAAGUAAGUAUUCCUUAUCCAUAAGUAUUCCUGUGCAGUCUUAUUUUAAGGAUCACUCUGUAAUCCAUCACAUGGAUUAAAUGAGUUAACACCAGUAAAGCCCUUGAAGCGAUGAGUGACAUUUGGUAAGCAUUCAAUAGAGCUUAACAAUUAUUAUAAUCUGGAUAUGUGUACAAACUAUAUAUAACUUAACCAUCCCUUUCUUAUUGGACUUGAAGUUUGUUUUCACGGACACAAAUAAUGCUCCAGCGUGCAUUCAUGUGGACAAACGUGCGCGCAUGGCUCUGAUGAUUUCCUCGGGAGGUAUUCUUGGUUGUAGAAUGGUUGAGUCACAGAAUAUGUAAUUUCUUUCCAUUUAUCAACACAGAUUCCUUUACCAAUUUACAUAUGCUCCAGGCUGCUAAAUUUGUUUUUUCUCUCCCAAUGAGUCUGGGUUUGGAGCUAGAGCCUCCUCUGAGAGUGAGGGGGUGCUAUGGCGGAUAAAAACACGACCACCCCCAUUUUAUGCCAGGAGCUGGAAGGUAUGAUCCCAGAGGCUAAACAAGAGUGAAUGUAACCAGAAAUGAAGUCAUGAGUAAAGCGCCUGACUUGGCUGCAUCUCAAUUUCUUGACCUGUAAAAUGGCUUCAGCAUCACCUGCAACUCUUAAAAUUUAUGACAAGAUUAAAUGAAAUGGCUGUCUCUAACUAGUGCUGAGCGCAUACAUGAAGGACUCAUACACGGCAACGGUCACUAGCAGAUAUAGAAGCAAUACCAUUAGCAGUGCCACUGCAGAAACAUUGGAGGCACUGUAAGGAUUUAUGAAUGCUGAACUAAUGAGCAUAGACAUUAUUCCGCAGAACAUGAGGAUCCAUUGAAGUUUUUGGUCCAGGGACCAAUAUGCCCACAACAGGGCUGUGGAGACUGGACCCAGUAGGUUGAGGGGUGGACUGGAGCAGUGGCGCCUGGAGGCAGAGGCCAGUCCAGAGGUCACUGGAACUGACCAGAAGUGACAGGUCACAUCAGAGAGUUUUGCCUUAUGAAUAUUAAAAGCAAUUAUUUCCAACAUUUGUUCUAUGAACAGGAGAGAUGACAAGCUCUAAAGCCCAGCAUUUCUGUGUUGUUUUUAUUUAAAAUCCAC
rnacentral:lncRNA from 1 species